AAAUAUCUCGUCCGGCACGCAGCGAAGGUCGGAGGUGUCCUCCAGUAGGCAUCGGAUUGCAGCGUCCCGCCUCGCCCAACGGUGAAAACCUUUGUUCACCCGUUUAUUCAGCCAAUCCGGCUCCGUUGUUGGUUUGACAAACCGAAAGCCUCUACAUCUUUUUUAUAAUAUGAAUUGAACAUGAGCAGACCACCUACACCUUUGCACCUGAUUACUCUCAGUUUCUAUAUUCUUUUUUUUGUUGUUGUUGUACCUUCAAGUCCAUGUUGACUUCUGAACUGCUUGCUUAUGAAUAAACACAGAAAGUUCCUGUCCUCAGGCCUACAGUCUAUCAAAAAAUAUGUAGAACAAAAAGGAGAUGAGAAGAAAACAGAGUACCCCUACUCGAAUAAUCAGAGCAACAGCAAGGGAAGAUGGUUGUUCCUCCUUCUUUGCCUCUUUCUCAUGAAGCAAUUAUUCCUGAUUAUGCUUUACACACCAACACUGAGCUGGAAGACAGAAUCAACAACCACAGUGUUAUUGUUUUACUAAAAUCCAUCUUUAUCAUGCUGAGAUACCUUCCUUUCUCUCCCCCCCCCCAUGUUAUUUAUCUUUUAAAGUUCUUUCUUGACUGAAAUUCAGCUUUAUUGAAUGUCAAUUAUAAUUUAUGGAACAGUGUUUGGAUAAUAUGAUAAUAAGAAUCAGUUAUUUAGUAUUGGACAUGGGGGGAGGAGCAAUUUAUUUUUUAAAUCUAGUAUCAACCAGUUCCUAGACUGAUUUUGACAAGUCAGCAGUUCUUAGCCUAAAAUUUACCUCAGUGUUAUUUUUGUAGAGAAAGAAUAGGAGAAGGAGUGCUGUGUGUUAGCUACCUAGAAUGGGUAGGCAACCCAAAAUACUCAAAGAGCCACUUGGACCCGUUUCCCACUGAAAACAAAACACAGGGAGCCGCAAAACCCUUUGG